UGUAAUGAUUGCAUUUGCUGCUGUCACACCAAAUGUUCCCCACUGAUGGGCAAUAAAGAGCUUUUCUUUUCUAUCAAUCUAUCUGAAGUAUUUGCUGUUCCUGUUUUAAGGUAGGUUAAAUAUUUUUCACAGGCCAACAAAAAUAAGCAAAAUAGUAAUUCUCGUAAAUGAAAAUGCAACAUCUCACCUAUUACCUCUCAUGCUUUAGAGCAGAAAAAGUGCACAAAACCAAAAUAUUUCAAGCUGAGUUUGCUCUACUCUGAUUUACUGUGAUAAUCACCUGUUCCAUCCACACCUCACCUGUUCCACCCACUCCUGCCUCUCUGGGGUUGGGCUCUGAGCUGAGGAAGGAGUUCAUCAGUGAGAUUUCUGUUCUUCUGUUCAUCUUCAUCACAGACAACAGUUGCUCACACAGGUUUGUGCUGCUGAACAUGGAGAGCAUCUGAGCAGCUUGUGCACAUUUUUUGGUCAGUGUCGGGAAGGUGAGAUUAAAAAUGGGUACCAUUUCACAAUAGGGGUCCCUUUAUUGAUGUUACUUAGUGCAUUAAUAAACAUUAAUAAAGUAAUAACAACUGCUUAAUAUUAAUGUUAAUAUUAAGUAAUGUGUUACAAAGUUUGUUUCCCAGCCCAGUAACUCAUUUUAGUGUUCCUGAGAUGUCUCCUAUCAUUUAUAUUUUGAUCAGAUUUGUUCUUGUAAUACUGUCUUUUAUCCCUCCUGUUAAAAACACUUACCUUGUCCCUGCCUUUACAAUAAUCUGACCAUAGCACCAAGUUGAUAAGAGUUCCCAGCAGCACAAACUUCAUUUUUAAGAGAGUCUCUAUACACUGUCUAAAUUUUGCAUCAAUCCAUGGAGCUUUAUUGGCUUUCGCAGUGAACCUCUUUACCGACACAUGUUUGUUGGCUAUGCAAAGAAACAACUCAUUGAUACUACCCCGAAGUAUCUUUGGUCCUAACUUCACUGCUUUCCCUUUUGUUGCCACAGCGAUUACAUUGUGGUCUGUAAACUUAUCUGGAGCUGAUUCUGCUUCUGACCAAGCAGAAUUAUUGUUGGUGUAAAUAUGGUCAAUGCUUGCUGAAGAUGUGCGCCCUAAGUUAUCGAGAACAAUCCUAGUAGAAUGUUUUAGUUUCUUUAGGUUACACUUAAGAGCAGUCUCUUUCAACCUUCAGAUGGGGGUUUAUACAAAGAUACUUUGGGGUAGAACUUACAAGUCAUUUUCUGAAGCUAUUUUCAUAAAUGGCAUUGAGGGAGCAGACUGGAAUAGAGCGUUAAAGUCUAGAAAUGAUCACAUGCUGGCUGAAAUAUUCAAGUUUUCCCUUUUGAUAAAGGAAAUUGAUAAAUUAAUUCAUUUAUCAAAUCCUCCAGACAUCCAGCUUUGUGCGAGACAGUCCCAAAUUGAGACUUUCAAUUUUCAAUUCAAGCUUAUUUAUAUAGUGCCUUAUCAUGACAGGCGUCGUCCCAAGGCACUCUACAGAAUAAACAUUCCAAUACAGGUCAAUUCAUUAAGCCAAUCAGAAAAAAGUUUCCUAUAUAAGGAACCCAGCAAAUUACAUCAAGUCUUUACAGCAAUCCUCAUACUAAGCAAGCAUGCAGUGACAGUGGAGAGGAAAACUCCCUUUUAACAGGAAAACACCUCCAGAGGAUCCUGGCUCAGUAUAAGAAGCCAUCCGCCAUCACUCACUGGGGAUCAAGAUGACAGAUCAAGCUGAAAUUGCAGGAAAUAAUACAGUUAAAGAGCAGAUUGUAGAAGAAAGACGUAGAGUGUGGAAAGUGGUCAGUGUGCCCUCCAGCAGUCUAAGCCUAUAGCAGCGUAACUACAGAGAUAACUCUGGAUAACCUAGCCUUUUAGAUGGAGGCAGGGCAAGGGAGAGCCGUCUUUACUGACUGUACACUCCACCUCCCUCUAUUCCCCCACUUGUCCAGAUCUAGGUUAACAUCAGAUUUUAACCAUAGUCCCCAUCAAAUAAAAAUGUUUUAAGCCUAUUCUUAAAAGUAGACAAGGUGUCUGCCUUACGGACUAAAGCUGGGAGGUGGUUCCACAAGAAAUGAGCCUGAUAACUAAAAGAUCUGCGUCCCAUCCUAUUUUUAGAUAUUCUGGGAACCACCAGUAAACCUGCAGUCUGAGAGCGAAGUGCUCGGUUAGGAACGUAUGGAACAAUCAGAUCACUGAUGUAUGAUGGAGCUUGAUUAUUAAGAGCUUUAUAUGUGAGAAGAAGGAUCUUAAAAUCUAUUCUGAAUUUAACAGGCAGCCAAUUAGGGAAGCUAAGACUGGAGAGAUGUGAUCUCUCUUUUUAAUUCUCAUCAGAACUCUAGCUGCAGUAUUUUGGACAAGCUGAAGACUUUUAGUUACAUUCUGUGGACUUCCUGAAUUACAGUAAUCCAGUCUUGAUGUAAUAAAUGCAUGAACUAGUUUUUCGGCAUCACUCCUGGAAAUCUAAUCUUAGCAAUUUCCGAAGGUGGAAAAAGAAAAUCCUACAAACCUGUUUAACGUGGGAUUUGAAUGGCAUGUCCUGGUCAAAGAUAACACCAAGGUCCCUUACUUUGUUCUCGGAGAUUAAUGUAAUGCCAUUCGGGUCAGGUGAUUGACGAAGCAAUUUCCUUUUCUGAAUUUCAGGUCCAAAGAUGAGAUAUUCAGUCUUGUCUUGAUUUAAAAUCAAAAAGUUUUGAGUCAUCCAAUUUUUUAUGUUUCCAAGACAAGCCUGUAAUCUAACUAACCGAUUAGGUUCAUCAGGGUUAAUGCAUAGAUAUAACUGAGUAUCGUCAGCUAACAGUGGAAGUUUAUCCCAUGCUGUCUAAUGGUUUUACCAAUUGGGAGCAUAUAUAUAGUAAAAAAAAUGGUCCAAGCACUGAACCCUGUGGUACUCCGCAAGUAACCCUGGAGUAUGAAGAAGAUUUGUCAUGUACAUUUACAAAAUGAAAUCUGUCAGACAGGUAGGAUUUAAACCAGCCUAACGCUGCUCCUUUGCUCCUUACAACAUGUUUAAGCCUUUCUAAAAGAACAUUGUGAUCAACUGUGUCAAAAACAGCACUGAGAUCUAACAAGACUAGAACAGACACAAGAUUCUUAUCUGAGGUCAUGAGAAUAUCAUUUGUGACUUUCACCAAUGCAGUUUCAGUGCUGUGGUACUCUCUAAAAUCAGACAGAAAUUCCUCAAACAGAUCAUUAGUGUUUAAAUGCUCACAUAAUUGGAUGGCCACUAUUUGCUCAAGGACUUUGCAUAAAAAGGAGACCGACUAUAGUGAAAUUUACUUUCAUGUUUCGAGAACUCAGUUAUAAAAAACUCAAAGGUUAUCAAAGUGGUCCGAGAAGACUGGAUUAUGUGGAAAUAUCGUUAUGAUGGCAGGAGUGGGUGGAGCUAUGUAUUCUUUGGAUAAGAGCAAUUGACUCUAAGAUAUUACUAAAGGCUACAUUAAGGCUAUCACUUUCAAUGACUUAUGUCCCUCAUUAUUGUCAGUCUCUCAUUUUGAGUUAAAGAUGUAUUUGACCACUCAUGUUCAAGUAUGUAAUGUUCAUUCCUGCUAACAAAAAGAAGAUAUGUGUAUGCCAGUGUAACCCGGACAAACAUGUUAGUGCAUUAAUGUAGUUCUUAAAGCAUAUUACAGUUUAAAAGGGGUUAAAAGCUAAAGUUCAUUAAAUGUUAAAAGUGUUAUUAAUAUUGUAUUUCAUGUAUGUGGUGAAGUUUAAAACUUAAGAAGUACCUAAGUAUAAGUUAAAAGCAAGAAAUGUUUAACAUGUUUUAAUGUACUUUAUUUUGGUUUUAUUGUGGAAAAAAGGAAGUGCUAAGAUGCGAUCGGGAGGAGGAGGAGAGAGCUUGGCGAGGAGGACGGGAGAAAAAGAUGCACAUGUCCGAAGCAGAGUAAUUAAAUAAGUUUCCAGAUCGUUGACUUAAUGGCCGGUAAUGUACGCUUGUUUAAUGGUUCCUGGACUACUUGUGGACACUUAAGCUCAAAGUUUGUCCUGAAGUUUCAUCUGCAAUAGUACUUUGAAGCAGUUUAGCGGACAGUUAGCUUUCACUAGCUAAGUGAAAGUAGCACUCGGAGCAUUGUUAAGCUAAUUCAGCUAACUGCGGAGACUACAGCUUCAUUCUUCCAGCCUGGAGACAUCGCUCAUUGGAAGUGUGAGCCUGGACCAGGACCAGCAGACAGGACACAGUUUGGCACCAGUUUCCCAAGGAUUUGGUUGUGAGUUUGAGAAUGUUGAGCUACAAAAUCGGGUACCUUUUUUUGUUUAAUUGCUCUAUUGAGAGUUAAGUGGCCAUUGUGUUUUAGGCCUCACCUCUCCCUAGCUUCACUCAGGCCAGCAACUUUGAGGUUUUCUAUAGUUGUGGAAGCCGGCUAGUGUGCUUGUGUGUGUGAUUGGUGAGUGGACCCCUCACAUAUUUGAGUUAUAACUGAAGUUUCAGUUUAUUGAUUGAAUGUAUUUGGUUUUUCUUUUUGACUGUUGUUCAAAACUACUAAUUCAGUAAAUUACUAGUUUAAAUUUAACUACGUUUGGUCAUUGUGUUAAGAGAAAAAUGUUGUGAGUUAAAGGGAACUUGUACUCAAACUAUGUAGAAAUACUUAAGACUUGAGGUACACUGUUUUAAAGGGAAAUUCUACAUUGUAGAAUCUAGGGAGCCCUUACCUAUGCCAGAGGGUAAAGGUGGGCUACACCAAGAAAGAUAGACACUAAAAAGCCAGAAUGGCAGCUGGCUUUUGUUCUGUCACAGUUAUGAUGUCCAUUUUUUGCUGGCAAGUUAAACCUUCAGUAGUCACUAACGAACAUGUUUAGAAGUCCCCAACUAACAAACACACUAAGGUGGGCACAAUUUAUUUUUGUUUUAUAAUUGUCUCAGAGUUACUCAGCUGUCCUGGAAACACGCUAUGUGCAUAUUUGACAGUCAGUUAAACUCUUCCCACACCAAGAUCAAGCUUCUGUUGUCCAUGUGUUUAAUGAUGUUGAAAAGUCCUGGCAAAGAAAACAAAGAAGCUUCACAGCAACUCUGUGAUUGUUCUUGAAUGGCCCAGCCAGAGCCCUGACUUAAACCUAACUGAACAUCUCUGGAGAGACCUAAAAAUGACUGUCCACUACUGUUUACCAUCCAACCUGACAGAAAUGGAGAGGAUCUGGAAGGGUAAGUGGCAGAGGAUCCCUGAACCCAGGUGAAAGAAACUUGUUUCAUCUUUACCAAGAAUACUCAUGGCUUCAUUAGCACAAAAGGUGCUUCUACUAAAUACUGAGUAAAGGGACUGAAUACUUAGGACCAUGUGAUGUUUCAGUUUAACCACUCUGCAGACAUUUCUAAAAUUAUGUGUUUUUCUGACAAUAUGGAGUGCUGUGUGUACAUUAAUGAGGAGCAAAUGAAUUAAACUGAUUUUAGCAAAUGACUACAACAAUAACAAAGAGUGAAAAAUUGAUGGGGGUCUGAAUAGUUUCCUUACCGAUAUGAGAUAGUAUCUCGUAAGAAGCCCGGCCUGCCAGACUCGUCUCUGUUUAACUCUGCACAGAGAAAGAGUCUGGUAUCUCACAGGCAGAGAGGCACAUGAGGGACGGGACUAGGCAGCUCAAAAAUAACCAAUCAGAAAAAAGAUGGAAAUGCCGACUGUACCCCACGACGCUGUAGUUUUGUAGCUGUAGUAAAAAUGGUGUCUGGCGACGGCGUAAUUAAACAUCUUUAAUUUUUUUUUAGCAGAAGAAGAAGAAGAAGAAAAUAUCAUUUCUAUAGUCAGAAAGGCUUUUAGCGCUUCUACUUGUUGUUUUUUAAAGACGUGUCCAAGCCAUUUAGAACAGAGGAAAGAGCCGCAGCGAACUCCGCUUCAGUCGUCAUGUUUAUGACAAACUCGGCAUUAUGGAGUGUGACGUAUGCUGCUCAGUGGUGAUUGACUCAGUUAGAAUUCUCAGGGGGUGGGGUUAUUUAAAUAGGGGAGUUCCCAGAUCCUUCCUCUGGGCAGAAUUAAACAGCGGAGACAUAGGCGUCAUUUUAACCGGGGACUCCGGGGACAUGUCCCCGGCAAAAUUUGUGAUUGGCCGCUGUGUCCCCCCCACUUUCAAAAAAGCCUGCUGAUGAGUUUUUUUUUUUACCAGCUCAGAUCGUAUACCUACGUCUGUUCCCAGCAGAUUUUUAAAUGUUGCAACUGGCAUCUAAUUAUUUAUACUUGAGCUUUAAAUAAAAAUAAAACCGUAAUCAAUUUAGAUUAUUUUGUAACAUUUCUGAAAAAGCGCCCUGCGUUAUGCUGAGUACCUUGCCACCCAGCUGUCAGCAGUUGUGAUAAGCAGGAGAGUACGUCACCCACACUGCUCAAGAAUCACGUAUUCUUCUUUACCUCCAACAGGUAAGCAAUGUUAUAUUUUAUUUAACACCAAAAGAAGGCGAUAUUUUAAUGUGAUUAAUGCAGGGGUCCUUCAGGCGUGCGUACAGCCACCCCAGCUGUUAGCAUGUAGCUGGUGGAGGCGAGUACAUGUGAGCAGAAUUAUAUGUUGUUAAAAAGUCUAUUUUAAGUUGAGUUAAGUAGCUUUUGUGACUUGUUUUUGACAUGCGAGGGCUCUUGGGAGUGUUCUGUGAGAAGUUUAGCUGUAGCUUUAAAAAGAAAAGCAAGUUAUAUGGGUGAUAAUGCUUCGAUUAGCGUGUUGCUAAUAGAAGCUAACUUCUCGUGAGUGAGUGUUAAGUUACUUCGCUGUCUUAACCUGAACAGAGUGUGAUGCUGGAUAAUACACAUAGCCACGUUUACAUGCGCAAAAUCUCCUCUAGCCAAUGAAAAUCUUGCCUGUUCGGAAAUCCCAAAUGUCUGUAAUGGACACUAACCCCCAAAUUCCACUACCUCCGCUCCGCUCCGGUCUGCCCCCGCCCUCCGCAGCCGCUCGCUUCCGAACUCAAUUUUUACUGCUGCCCGCUCUACAACGGCUCCGCUCCGGUGCGGAGACCUGAGGUGGGCAAACAAGCAUGCGCGGGAUUUUCGAGAUCUUGCGAUACAGUCCGAGCAAUAAACGCGGAAGUUAGAUCCAAACACCCGUUGUGUGGGAGAAGCAUCAAAAUGAACUGUUUAAUCUGCCCAUCAUUUGUGUUGAGAGAUCAGCAGUGUUUGGAUCAACUAAGUGUGACUACUUUGAUAGUGGAAACUGUAUUUAUGGCUUACUUUUGUGCAUUUAAACUUCAGCUGCCACUGAUAGUUGUUAAAAGUUGUUAAACCUGUGCAUAUGAAACAAAAAACGCCUUUUGUUUAUCGAUUUAUUGUGAAAAACGGAAGUUGUGCCCGCUCCUUUUCCUGUUGGACGGUUGUGAUUUCUGUCCAUUUACUGCGGAGGUGCUCCGGCGUCCGGCGAAAAUAGGAUCGAUUCUAUUUUUGCCGGACGCCGGAACAGAGGGCGGCGCACGGCGCCGCACUGCCGGAGCACGGCCGCAGUAGUGGAAUUGCUCUGAUUGACUACAACGGGACCGAUUUUGCUCCGGCGUUUGUGUCGGAGCGGAGCGGAGCGGAGGUAGUGGAAUUUGGGGGUAAUUUAUGCACCAAGCAUUCCGUCCAAAUAAAUAGGUUGAGCAUGCGCAGACAAUUGUAUUUCCUGGAAAAGAUGGUAAACAAAUGCCAUGAAACGAAAUGAAAAGUGUAAUGUGCAGAAUUAUUGAUCUGACUGGGUGUUCAGUCCAUUUACUUGUGCCCAUUUAAACGUGGCUAGUGAUGGAAAUUGUGUGUUCUGUUAUACCAGGAAGGCUCAUGUAUGAAUGUUACAGUAGAAAAAUGUAUUUGUGUUACAAGUGUUAUUAGCAACUUUUGGUCAUCCACUAUAAUCUGUUUUUUAUGUAAAAUGUGAAAAAAAACCUUGAAUAGUAAUAAUAACCACUAUACAAUCACGCAGCACAGUAACAUGUAAGUUGGUGGAGACCCCUGUGUGAGGCUGGAUAACUCAUAUUGAUGGAAAUUGUGUGUGUUCUGUUGGACCAGAUUGCUGCCAAUAAAAGCAAGUUGAAGAAUAAUCUGGUGCCAUAAUCUGCUUUUUGGUGAAUGUGGAGCACAAGAGUGAUGACACAAAUUGUCCAGACCACAUCUACUGAACAGCGUGCCUGUCAAAUGACUCCCUAGCCUUCUUCCAGUUUCUGAACCCCUGAGAAAUAAAGGACUGUAAUGGAGCCAGGGGAAGAUUUUGAACCAGCUCUCCUGGAAGUGAAGAAUGCUGUUCGGCAGAGUUUGUGGCUCAAUUAGCUGUGCUGCUGGUUGGUAUGGGGAACCUGGACCCUCAGCUGUAUGGAUGGUUUGCUUGUGGAGGGUUAUCCUGCUUCCCUGCAUCAGUACCUGGUGACUCGACCUAUAAUGUAAUUAUUCAGUUGUCAUUAGUUUCCAUGCAUAGCUCUCAGAAAUGUUUUGAUUCUACACAGUGUUCUCCAACUGGUCAUACCAUGAUGUUAUAUAGACAACUUACUUUUCUGUUUGUAUUUUAGUAGUAGUGAUGUAGUGUUGUAGAUCUAUCUGUUGUUUUAAUCAAAUCUGUUUUCCUUCCAUAUUUUUGUACAAGUUGAACCAAUGCAAAGCCCUGCAGAUGGAUAAAACUUGCAUAUGUUUGCUUCCUGAACCCUCACCUGCUGAAUCUGAUCUGAGCUUGUUUCAACACUCUCCAUUUCUUCAUCCAGUGAUUGCACUUGCUGUAAGAGUAUACCAAAGUUGGUUUCAUAUUUACUGUAAGGUUAUAUCUGAUUUUCUGUUGAUGUGAAUUUCACCUCUCCAUUCUCAGCUGCCUGUUCCUGCAUGUGUUCAUUUUCCUCUGUCACAUUCUGUUCCUGAUAGAAAAUGGAUAAUCAAAUAAACAUUACAACUUGUGUGAUUUUAUUUUUUUUUUAUUUUGCUAAUGCAGCAUAGACUUUGACUUAAUUAUUUUUGGUUUAGUUGGAAAAGUAUAGGUUCUUUGGGUGUCCAUUAGUUGGCAUCCAAAAAGGGGACACAUUCCUGAAGCACUGAACUUGUGUUGUUUACUUGAAGAAAGCUUUUGACUUUAAAGUGUGCCGGUUCUUUGUGGUUAGAAAAUAUAAAUAACUUCAGCUAGGCUAAUAAGUCAGAAAGUUUAAAAAAAAAUCUGUGGAAAUAACUUAACGGUUUAAAAAAAGAUACCCUGAAACAAAUUGGUCGGUCAUACGGGACAAAAAUCAGAUUUUUUUUUUCAAAUAUAAUAAAACAAAUUGCAUUAAGACACAUGUGACUCUAGGGGGUGCUGAUUCCUACUGAACAAACGUAGUGCUAUUUUGUAUUAUCAAUGCCAUCAAAAUCUGUUUUAAGGUUAACACAGUUUUGCAAGGCUAUGGAAGGGCUGGGCUGGUUAAGGUCAUGUAAGGGGUUAGGGUCACACGGUUAGCAUCUGGUUUCCCAGUCACUUUUACACCACAAAACUUUAUUCUGAGACUUAUUCAUUUACACACUUCAACCUAAAAUUUAAUCCCUCUAACACUUUAAUUAUGGAUGGGUCAUUUCACAUAAUGGGACCAUUUGCUAGAUGGGGACCUAGUUGGAAUUAGUUAAACAGCACCACUCAGUGACAGGUGCAACACCUGUAUGUCGGUAGGCUACUACAACCUCCUUUCAGAACUAUCCACUUGAGCAGGUCGGGAGUAUAUCACAGGGCUGUGCUGUCGUGUUUAUGUAUUGUAAGAUGAAGUCUUCUGAAAAACGAUGAAAACCUAGGCAUUUUAUCAAUCUAUGAAAUAUUCCCAGAUGCCCCUAAUAGCACAUGAACAGUAAAAAUGUCACGGGAAAAAAGAGGUUUGAUCACCUAGCAUAAAGUAAGGUUUUUAACCAUUAUUGCUGCUAGCUAACUGUACCAGUAGAUGAGAGAAACCUCUCUCAUGCCCUCUUAUCUACUGCUAAGUAAGUCAAUAUCAAAUGAUAAAACUGGAUAUAUUAGUCUUAUUUUUGUCGGGAUGCACUUACAGCACAUUUUUCUUGCAGAAAAACCAUCUGAUAUCGGUUGCGUUCUUUCUUUUCGACAUGGUCGACAGACAACUACUUUUCACCUACUUCAGCUUCUUAACUUUUAAAAAAAUCAAUCAAUCCGGUAGUUCACGGACAGCUAGCCUGUCGGAGUGUGGAGGUGACCAGAGAGUGGAGCCUGAUAAAAAGAUGAGUAUUUUUCUCUAAAAAUCUUAUUUGACAGUCACAAAUAAUAUAACAAGGAUAUAUAUAAUAUAAUACAAUAAUAAUAAUACAAUAUCUUUUUUGCUAGGCUAGCUAUAUGGAUGUUAAUAUUCCACCUUGCUUACAGGCUAAUGGGGGGUUUCAGUGCCGUUGGAAAAACAAAACAAAACAGGAUUUUUAAUAACUGUCAAUACACUACUCUGCAUAUUGGAGUGAAACAUUAAAAACUGAUGAAUACUUAAAUAUGCUAGCCUAUUUAAUGAUUGUCCCCAGCAAUUUUUAAACCCCACUCAAGUGUAUGGUUAUUGUCCCCAGCAAUUCUAAAAACAAACUGACGCCCUUGAGCGGAGGAGUCUGGCAGGCCAGAAUAGCUCGUAAGGGGCCUGCUAGGCAGGGCCCUUAUUGUUCUUCACCAGAUGAUUUGUUAUCUUUUUUAUCAUUCUUUUAUCUCUUACUGAUCUAAGUGUUUCAAUUUACCAUGGGCGAAAUUACUAGCAAAAACUUUUUUCUUUGUCGUUGUUCAGUACACAUUGCACAUGUGUUCAUUAAGCAUGUUCGUUAUGCGUGUGUUCUAACAACAGCGUGCACCCCCACACAUGUUGCUUCUAAAUGAAUGGCUUGGGAAGUGUGGUAUUUAUUGAUUUGAGGUGGUUUCCUCAAUGUCACCCCAACAUUAUACUUAGGGCCGCCAUGGCACAUGGCCGCUUUCUUGUGCAGGUCCCUUUUAAAAUGUCUUCCACAUCUUUGUGAGAAAGCUGAUGUUCAUCGUCUGUGGAGGAAUAAGACAUGGGAACUAACAUGGAAAGCAUAUUGGGACCAUUAAUGGAGUGAUCCUUCGUUUAUUAAUGCUUAAAUAUGAACUGAGUAACAAUAAUAAAGCAACCCUUAUAGUAAAGUGUUAGCAAAAACUACAGCAGCCACAAAGUCAUACUCUGACUUGAGUGUGUUGGAGUUCAGUCAGCUCCAUCUGGAGGUCAGUUGGUGAGCCAUCUAUGUGAACAGAUUACUGAGCAGUUGAAAUCUCAAUUUUUGUGCUUCAAAAUUGGCAAACUGCUGAGUAAGAGGAGUGUUUUCAAUUUGUCUGAGAGUGAGGAGGACAGUGCUUCAGACGCCGAUACUUGUAGUAUGGACGCUAAUGACUGCAAAGACAUACCGGGGUUUUCUCCUUGGAGCAUAAAUUUUUAUUCACCUUCCCAUCUUUGUUGAAACACCCUUCCUUCUGCAUAUAUCUUACUCUUCGUGGGAUUUUGGGAUAAUAUGUUGUUCAAUGUGUUGUCUUUAUUUUCUUGACCAUUUGGGAGAUUCUCACUGAAGGCAUCAAAACUAUGAAUGAACACAUGUGGAGUUAUGUACUUAACCAAAAAAGGUGAAAUAAUUGAAAACAUGUUUUAUAUUCUAUUUUCCUCAAAACAGCCACUCUUUGCUCUGAUUACUGCGUUCCACACUCUUGGCAUUCUCUUGAUGAUUUUCAAAAGGUCUGAACCUGAAAUGGUUUUCCAACCGUCUUGAAAGAGUUCCCAGAGGUGUUUAGCACCUGUUGGCCCCUUUGUAAAUAGUCAUGAAUAUAAAGGAAACACAUUGAAUGAGAAGGUGUGUCCAAAUGUUUGACCUCUACUGUAUUUUAAGACAAUUUAAGCUCUCGUCACGUGGGCCUUGAAUCAUACACGUGCAAAAGAACCUUAAAUUUAAUUUUCAAAGUUGACAGUUGUAAUAUUAAACUGUAGCAUGAAGCAGCAUAGACAAUGGAGGGAUACAAAAUAACUAACCUGUAUCCAUUUAAUUCACUGAAUGUGACAACUUAAAAUCACUGAAUGUUCUAAUUUUUAUCAAUGCUUGCUCUUUCAGAUUCAAGUUGGUAACACAGACCAUUUGAACAUGGAUUUAAUGGUUUCCCUGGUCCCUCUGCAGUCAGCUGUGUGCAGCAAAAACGUUUGUAAUCAUUCAAGCCUCAGUUACAUCGAGAGCGGAACCGAUGGACUGGAAUCCCUGCAGUCGUUUACACUGUCUCUAGAUACUAUGUGGAAUGCCUCUGCAACAUUGCUCAUGAGUUCAUGCAAAAACAACCAUGAGUGAAAAGAUGACCUGGUACACAAAAGCCACACCAGUCCAUUCAGACUACCAUACACUGCAAACCGAUUUUCCAGUCAUUAAUAAUUACAGAAUGAUGCAACGUGGGUUUUAUUUUGAAACAAAUUGGAUGCAGCUUGCUGGCACACAUCACUUUCUGUCUGACUCAUGCCAUUUCUUCAAUUUCAUGACAAUCCACAUCACACGUUUGCAAUUAAUGGAGAUCAUGCGGAAAGAAUCUGCAACUCCACAUUUGGAUCUGCUUUGUAUCACUGCUUUGUAAAUCCUCCGAUUGGACUCAGUGAUUUUCGUUCAUUGCAGAAGCUGCUUGGAUUCUGAUCCUCUUCCGUUUCACACUCGGUGUAAAUGAGGCUUUAGACUGUCCUCAUUAACUAUGUGUGUGCAUCAAAUUACAAUUUAUUAAACUGAUGAAUUGCAAGUGUGAAAAAGACCGGCUUGCUUUGAGGUCACUGCUGGUACAGUGUUAAUUUUUGAAUGAUCGGCCACAGAAACUAUAAAAAUCUAUGUGAUGAAUCACUCUAAAAAUGUUCCUUUAUUAAGUAGUCAAGAAAUUAACCAGCAUCACCCGCUAAACUGGGCCAAUGGUUCACGAGAUGACGCUAUGAUGCAGCUGACCAAAAGGUUGUAUGGACACAUGCUCAGCAGGUAAUAAGAAAGAUGACUUUCAGUCAACAAUCUUGGUCUCCAUUCAAUCCACGAGUCCUGUAGCUUCUGUCUCUAUCUCACUCAUACACACAGGGCAGUCAGUGGCCUCUUAAUCCUGCUCAAACAAUCAGAGCAUCACCAUGUGCUUCAGGGCUGACAUUGAUUCCUUGACCUGUGUCCCAUUCAGUGGCUCCAUCUGGACUGGGUUUGAAGGAUGGUUCAUGUGUUAUUCGUCUGCUAGCCAGAGCCCAGGGCAAGGUAAAUAUCAGCAAGUAGUGGUGUAAUACACUAAACAGAUGUAAGCUAGAUAAACAAGUGGGAGAAUGGUUUUAAGAGCUAGAGUUUCAGACACAUUAACUUUCCUGUCUGGCUGACAGAGACUGGAUGUCCAUUUGUAUCAGCAGCUCCUCACAAGGAACAAGUUUGAGGAGAAUUGUUAGCUCCUUUCAAUCUAAACAGAUAUCCAGUGUGACAUGGUUUGUAAAUAUUUCUAGUUCAGUUACUUUGAUCUUGUUUUCUGCUCUUCUCAAACCUGGUCUUCAUGUGAUAAUCUGCCUGGCCUGUAUUUAACACUCACCCACUUAACCAGUGUGCAGUAGGGGUGUGGAACAUUCUGCUUAUGACAGACAAGGACAAAGUUCCUACACGGAAGCAUUCAGGGUUUGGAAUAUUGAGGGAGCUAAGGGGAGCCAGACUCUCCCGAAAAUGGUGACUGUCAUAGUCGAAGGUGAGUGAACACACCUAAAACGCUCUCUGUGUCAUUACAUGAUGGGCGGUACUGGAGAGCAGCCAGCUGUCUGCCAUCACGCGGCCGGAUUCUUAAGGAGCAGGGAGACACCUCAGCGCUGGAUGAUUACUCAACCUUGAUCCCAGCCUCCACCUACAGAACCUACCAUAACUCUGGACCCAUACCUGUCUCUCAGCUCCCCAGCCAAGCCUGACCGACCCGCUUUUCUCGACCCUCUGAAUCCUCCUGCACUCGGUGGAUCUCCCGAGUUUCAUUCUGCCCCGCUCUGCUCCUGCCAGUCACCUACCGACUGGACAUUUCUCCUUCCCGUGUCCCGAACCUCGCUCCUAAGAAGGAUUGGACUAAAGAGACUGGAAAGAUAUUCACCUCACCUUUUUGAUGGUGCUCUUUUAGUUUCCCUUAGAUAUAAUAAAUUAUUGUUUACUCACCAUAAUCCCUGUGUUCUGAGUUGAUUCUGAAUGUCCAGGGUCAAACAGCUUAAACCCAACGUGACAGUGACAGGCUUCCCUAGAAUCCCUCAUCGUACACACCCAGGGGACACCCUAAAAAGAUCCAGUUUCAAACUACAUUAAACCAUUUAUAUGGACCCUCAGUGGACCAGGGCUUCUUUUGAGUGGAGAGGAUGAAGAGCACUGAUUGUUUAUGUACUUAGGGCAGCUGCAUCCUGAACAUUGCCACAGUAACAUUCUCAAAAAAAUUAUAAUUAACACACAAUUUUUUAUGUCCGCUCAUAUUGUCUGGUAAUUUCUGUCUUUCAUUCAUGUUCGAUGCGCUGGCAAUGGAACUCAAAACUAGCGGUAUGGUGACUUCAUUUCACUAGUGUGGCCGCAAAAUUCACACUUUGCUAUUUUUGCAGUCGGUAGAUCCCUUUGAUCUGUGUAGUUCAAAAGUUAGGUGAAAAAGUGGGAAGCCAGGCAGCAGUUUUUCUGGAAGAUUGAGAGAAGAUGCAGGAAGAUAAGAGACAGACACCACAGGAAAAUAGUCAAAGAAAAAAAAGAAAACAAACAAAAAAAAAAGAAAAUAUAGGUAGAUUUAUCAUCAUUGCACCUUUUAAUUGUAUAAAGCAGUAAUUUAUAUGCAUGUAAUAUUUACAUAUUUGAUACAAUGCAGACAACCUC